rnacentral:rRNA from 2 species
UAAUGGCUCAUCAAGGCGACGAUCGUUAGCUGGUCUGAGAGGACGAUCAGCCACACUGGGACUGAGACACGGCCCAGACUCCUACGGGAGGCAGCAGUGGGGAAUAUUGGACAAUGGGGGCAACCCUGAUCCAGCCAUGCCGCGUGAGUGAUGAAGGCCGCCGGGUUGUAAAGCUCUUUUGGCGGGGACGAUGAUGACGGUACCCGCAGAAUAAGCCCCGGCUAACUUCGUGCCAGCAGCCGCGGUAAGACGAAGGGGGCUAGCGUUGUUCGGAAUUACUGGGCGUAAAGCGAGUGUAGGUGGUUGUCCAAGUUGGAUGUGAAAGCAUUCGAGCUCAACUCAAGAAAUGCAUUCAGGACUGGGCGGCUAGAGGACCGGAGAGGAUAGUGGAAUUCCCAGCGUAGUGGUGAAAUA